CGGCAACGCAGACAGACAGAACUGCUUAGCAGGCGAGUGAACACACAACCUGGAAAGCUUAUCUACAGAAAAGAAAAACCAAGACCAACGCGUGGAGCGACAAAACGCGGCCCAACUGUGUUCAAAACACGGUGUGAGAGAUCGACCUUGUUUCAACUGGUCUUUGUGUCAGAUUGGACAAUGGACCAACUGUUCUGGAUUUUGAUGGCGAGCUAACCACUUGGAUCUAGAUUGAGAUAACCUGGAUACCUCCUUGCUGCAUUCUCUUGGUGUGGUAGGACAAAAAACAAACAAACUUGGAGCUAAUACCUCACCAUUCAGCAUUACACUGUGCCUUACAUCGACAGGACUUUGACAAACUUUUUAUGGACUUCUUUUGAUUAACAUCCCAGGAACUGUGAACUGAAUAUCUCUUUUUGUUAGGACAAUUUUGACUGAAAAAUUGCACAUGUGUAUUUUUGCAUAAGGAUUGGAAACAAUCCCAUGGUAAACAGAAAAGGGUAUUAGAAGUUUGAUUGUGCCACUAUUUUUGGUGCAAUAGAUCGAAAAUCAGAAAUUCCAGUUAGAGUAAAAGGUAAUUCCUAAACAUUCUAACUUGGAAGGGUGCACCCAAACCAACUCAAAAAAUCAAAAAUAUUGAAUUGAUUAUUGGCCUAAUAUAAGUGUGUGUGUUAAAUGUUUUUUGUAUAUGUAUAAAGUUUUUUUUUUUUUGUUCUCUAAAGCUGGCAAUAUAAAACUCUUGUGGUCUGUGUCAACUUAUGCACUCCACUAAGCUCGAGUAGACGAACUUAGUUGUCCACAAUUAUUUUAUAAUUUGGUAAAAAAAACAAAAAAACAACAAAAGCCUGUGUUACAGGGGACUACCUGUAUAUAUUCCCUACACAAUGUUUACAUUAAGUGUAGAGGUGAAACAAGUACUCGAGCUACUCGAGUAACUCGAGUUUAAAAACUGAUCCGAGUAAUUUUAUUCACCUCGAGUAAUCGUUUAUUUUGACAGCUCUAAGCAUCACGUUUUGCUCGGACUACUUUUAAUGCGGGACAACGCGCUGUCACGUGCGGAGAGGAAGAAGGGAAAAAAAAAACUUACUGCAGCCGACAGCCGCCACAAACGACGCCGACGUUGCUAAAUACUAGCCCGCACGAUGCUACGUUGGUAAAGGUAGCGUCUGAUGCGUCUCAUAGAGAUCACAUGUAUGUUAAACUAGAUGCACAAUGACAGACUCGGCCGCAUCUGGGCAGCGUUAGUAAACAGCCGCCAUUUUAGACCAGUAGAGCGCUAAGCGCUAGUAAAGAGCGCUAAGCGCUAAUAAAUAAGAUUAACGUUACUGUCGCUACUAGCUCACGUAACGUUAGCCCUGCGGAGGGCUAGGUUUCAAUUAAUUAUGACCACUGUCGAUGCGUGGCUAACGUGUCUUACAUACAGGCUUUAACAUAACAGCAUUGUGGAGUGAUGAUGGUGUAAAAUAAAAACUUAAUCAUGCUAAGUAUCAAUUUUAGCUCAGUAGUCAUUGCGGGAUAAAACACCCAAGUAGCACUGGUCCCUAAUGUGCUCCAAUACAGCCUGUAUCAUACAUUUAUUUUGAACACUGCAAAAACUCAAAAUCCUAUCAGAACCUACAGUUUAGACUAACUUAAAACUUAACUAGAACUUAAAAAUGGCUUGACACAAAGAGAAAUUCAAUUGAAACACGUGGGAAAACUUUUAAGUGAUGUGUGUUAUCAAGCGUAACGGCAUUUUUAGGUAAGAUAUAUAUAUAUUUUUUAAUCUAAAAGUUUUUUGAGUGAAAGCAGUGAAUUAGUCUUUUUUUAAUUUUUUUUUUUUUUUUUUAAUUCUAGUUACAUCUGAGAUGCAAUUGUUGGCUGUGUUCAAAAAUAUACAUCGAAAAUAAAGACAUUGAUUGACUGAAAAUGGUUCAAGAUUAGAUGAAAUGUCUUGUUUUCUCAUGUAUAUUUAUAAUUGCUCUUCACCUAAAAAUAUAUUUGUUUUAUCCGAUUACUCGAUUAAUCACUAGACAUUUCAGUCGAUUACUCGAUUACUAAAAUAUUCGAUAGCUGCAGCCCUAAUUAAGUAUUCACUUAACUCAUUGGCUGUCGUUCAUUUUUACCGCUACCAUCCUCUCCAAUCUCCAAUGAAUAGGACGUCCAUUACCGUCAAUGGCACUGAAACGAGAUCCUUCACUGCCAGCGCUAGCAUUUCAAACAAAGUAAGAAUUGUCUGAAUUGUUCAAAAGGCGCGCUAUUGAAAGCUUUUUGUUGAAAAUAGCAAGAUUGCCAUGACAUUCAAACAAAGUAUCACCGCCGGCUCGGUUUUCACUUGUCUGGGAGGAAGAAAGGUCCAAUUAGAGAUGAUUUGCCAGAGAAGCUUUGGAUUGCUUUAGCCGCCGUACGAUUUGCUCUUUUGUCGACCUGGGCUGAGUGCGCUUGCCGCUUUCAUCUGGCAUUUGGAGGGCGAGCACUUUAAUCAACUUAAUGCUAGCGAUAGCGCCUCUUGGCCCAACUCAAAGAGGAGCGCAGAUGGACUCCGCCGAGGCUUUUUUUUCCCCGUCGGGCAAAAAGAUACGGGUCACGGCACCGGCCGACGACACCGGGACGAGUCUGCGCUUCUGGUCUCCGCGCCGUUUUUCUCAGGGCCGUCAGAUAUGAAGUGUAGGUGAGGGACCUUUGUUUAUUUCAAAGCUGCUUUUUUUCCCUUUGUGGACUCUGGGGCCUUGAAAUAUGUAUAAGUGUCCUUUUGCAGACAUCUGAGAGGGAAAUCAAAGGCGGAAGCACAGCAGCGGCAGACGCGGCGGCGGCGUUUCUUAAGCCGCUACCUGCACACAACACACCUGACCCCAAAUACAUCCAACCUUUAACACUGACUUUUGUGAGCUGGAAAUACAUCAAUACUGUGCUUCAGAUGGAUUCAGUGCAGUCAGUCCCACUGCUAUUAGUCUUGUGUUGAAGUAUCAUUGUCCAUGGACAAAACUGUUACGUUUUGCUGCUUAUCUGCGUAAAUAUGUCGGUUGAGGAAUUCUAUUUUAGUCGUUAUUCGAUAAAUGGAACAGUUUAAGGUAGAGAUGCCGAUCGAUCGGGUCCGAUCACGUCAUUUUCAAAGUAUCGGAAUCGACAAAAAAAUAUCGGACAUGCCUUUUUUUAAUAUGUAUAUAUAUAUUUUUUGAUUAAAUCGUUUUCUAAUUGUAUUUAACUUUACCGACAUAAUGUGUUACACUCUUCCAGAGUCUUUAGUUUAAUCCAAAUGUCUGCUAGCAUGCUAUCCACAGGGUCUUUAUUCUCUUGUUAUCAUUGUCUCACGAGUCGAGUCGAGUCUCGAGUUAUUGCCUCACAAGUCAAGUCGAGAUUCGAACCCUCUCAGUCUGCGUUUUUUUUUCUUCAAUUCCGAGUCGAGUUGCGAGUCAUCAAAUUUGCAACUCCAAUAGACUCGAGUUUGAGGCCCUGUGACUUAAGUCCAAUUGUCUGCUAAUUAGUCUUUAAUCCCGCCCACUAACAAAUCUAUAAGAAGAUGAUGUCACAUCCAGAAUGCCCGCUAGCAUGCUAUCUAUAGGGUCUCUAUUCUCUUGUUGUCAUUGUCUCACAAGUCAAGUCGAGUCUCGGACCCUCUCAGUCUGCAUUUUUCUUUUUUCCUUCUAGUCCGAGUUGAGUUGCGAGUCAUCAAAUUUGCGACUCCAAUAGACUUGAGUUUGAGUCCUUGUGACUUGAGUCCAAUUGUCUGCUAAUUAGUUUUUAGUCCUGCCCACUGACAAAUCUAAAAGAAUAUGAUGUCACAUCCAGAAUGCCUGCUAGCAUGCUAUCCAUAGGGUCUUUAUUCUCUUGUUGUCAUUGUCUCAUGAGUCAACUCGAGUCGAGUCUCGAGUUAUUGCCUCACAAGUCAAGUCGAGUUUCGGACCCUCUCAGUCUGCGUUUUUUUUUUCAAGUCCGAGUCGAGUUGCGAGUCAUCAAAUUUACGUCUCCAGUAGACUGGAGUCUGAGUCCCUGUGACUUGAGUCCAAUUGUCUACUAAUUAGUAUUUAAUCACGCCUAAUAAAAAAUCUAAAAGAAGAUAAUGUCACAUCCAGAAUGUCUGCUAGCUUGCUAUCUAUAGGGUCUCUAUUCUCUUGUUGUCAUUGUCUCACGAGUCGAGUCGAGUCUCGAGUUAUUGUCUCACAAGUCAAGUCGGGUCUCGGACCCUCUCACUCUGCGUUUAUUUUUUUCUUUAAGUCCGAGUCGAGUUGUGAGUCAUCAAAUUUUCGACUCCAAUAGACUCGAGUUUGAGUCCCUGUGACUUGAGUCCAAUUGUCUGCUAAUUAGUCUUUAAUCCCGCCCACUGACAAAUCUAUAAGAAGUAGGGCUGUCAAACGAUUAAAAUUUUUAAUCGAGUUAAUUACAGCUUAAAAAUUAAUUAAUCGUAAUUAAUCGCAAUUCAAACCGUCUAUAAAAUAUGCCAUAUUUUUCUGUAAAUUAUACAUAUAUUCUGUAAAAUAAAUUGUUGGAAUGGAAAGAUAAGACACAAGAUGGAUAUGUACAUUCAACAUACGGUACAUAAGGACUGUAGUGGGCAUUUCACUCUACUGUCAUUUAAAUCUGUCUAUGCUGUCCUCACUCCGAAGCGUCUACUUUUUCCAAAGCUAGACAGCUAGUGAACGACGCCUUAAUAAUUAGACUUCUUCCUUUUUCAUCUGAUUUAUUAAUAAAAUGGCCUCAAACCAUCGUCCUCUUUAGACCGUCGUAAAACUACAAAAUAAAAGUACACAAGCAUUGCAUUAGCAACAACGUUAGCUUAGCACGCUAUACAGGUUCACUAAACAUAAACAAAAAGCGUCUCAUACAAAAAAUAUAACAUUUCGCUUGCUAACAUAAUAUGUACUUUCUUUGCAACAACCAUACUUACGGACAAAUCUUGUCCAAGGAUCAUAUAAGCACAAUAUUAUCAGCCCGAGACGUCGUGCAGCCAUAAUGAACUGGUAAGAAAACAAUAAACCAUGUCGCAAAGCAACCACAAGAGUUCGCUGUUGGACAGCAUAAAAAGCCUUGCUGUAAAACUUACCAAAAGGCAGAAUACUUUCUGAGCGGGACAUGUGUGUUAAUUGCGUCAAAUAUUUUAACGUGAUUAAUUUAAAAAAUUAAUUACCGUGCGUUAACGCGAUAAUUUUGACAGCCCUAAUAAGAAGAUGAUGUCACAUCCAGAAUGCCUGCUAGCAUGCUAUCCAUAGGGUCUCUAUUCUCUUGUUGCCAUUGUCUCACGAGUCGAGUCGAGUCUCGAGUUAUUGCCUCACAUGUCAAGUCGAGUUUCGGACCCUCUCAGUUUGUGUUUUUUUUCGUCAAGUCCGAGUCAAGUUGCGAGUCAUCAAGUUGACGUCUCCAGUAGACUCGAGUCUGAGAUCCCUGUGCCUUGAGUCCAAUUGUCUACUAAUUAGUCUUUAAUCCCGCUCACUGACAAAUCUAUAAGAAGAUGGUGUCACAUCCAGAAUGUCUGCUAGCAUGCUAUCUAUAGGGUCGCUAUUCUCUUGUCGUCAUUGUCUCACGAGUCAAGUUGAGUCAAGUCUCGAGUUAUUGUCUCACAAGUCAAGUCGAGUCUCGGACCCUCUCAGUCUGCGUUUUUUUCUUCAAGUCCGAGUCGAGUUGCGAGUCAUUAAAUUUACGUCUCCAGUAGACUUGAGUCUGAGUCCCUGUGACUUGAGUCCAAUUGUCUGCUAACUAGUUUUUAAUCCUGCCCACUAACAAUUCUAUAAGAAGAUGAUGUCACAUCCAGAAUGCCUGCUAGCAUGCUAUCCAUAGGGUCUUUAUUCUCUUGUUGUCAUUGUCUCCCGAGUCGAGUCGAGUCUCGAGUUAUUGUCUCACAAGUCAAGUCGUGUUUCAGACCCUCUCAGUCUGCGUUUUUUUUCUUCAAGUCCGAGUCGAGUUGCGAGUCAUCAAAUUUUCGACUCCAAUAGACUCGAAUUUGAGUCCCUGUGACUUGAGUCCAAUUGUCUGCUAAUUAGUUUUUAUUCCUGCCCACUAACAAAUCUAAAAGAAGAUGAUGUCACAUCCAGAAUGUCUGCUGGCAUGCUAUCUAUAGGGUUUCUAUUCUCUUGUUGUCGUUGUCUCACGAGUCGAGUCUUGAGUUAUUGUCUCACAAGUCAAGUCUCCGACCCUCUCAGUCUGCGUUUUUUUUUCUUCAAGUCCGAGUCGGGUUGCGCGUCAUCAAAUUUGCGACUCCAGUAGACUUGAGUCUGAGUCCCUGCGACUUGAGUCCAACUGUCUGCUAAUUAGUCUUCAAUACCGCCCGGUAACAAGUCUUAAAUAAGAUGAUGUCACAUCCAGAAUGUCUGCUAGCAUGCUACCCAUAGGUUUUCUAUUCUCUUGUUGCCACGUGACUGUUGAGUCAUUCUGUCAACAGGUACUAGCUAGCGCAGCACUAUAAAGCUAAAACUGAUCAGCAGUGGGCGUUCCCUAAUGCAUUCUGGGUAAAAACUAACUAUAACAAGGUAAAAUUAAAUUAGUGCAAUCAGUUUUUUCAUGUUCUUUUUUUUUUUUUUUUUGAUGUGGUUACCAUUUCAUAGCACCUCUAACUCAUUGGCUGUCAAUAAUGGUUAUAGAUGAACCAGAGCUUAACCUCUGUGAAUUUAAAUAACUUUGCCACUGGGGGACGUCCAAUCAAUUGGUUCGAAGUCUAUUGUUAUUACCGGCACUGAAACAUGAUCAUUCAACAACAACAUAUUCCAAGUUCUAAACUGGAAUCAAUUGUGUUAAAUAAAGCUGACAGUAGCGCCGCUACCUUUUGCUAAGGAAGCGCUGCAGAGGGCUCGGAGAAGGACACGGAGACGCGAAGGCCUCGCAGGCAUGACAUUGUUUUUGACUCGGCAAAGUGCUGAGCUCAACAGCGCAGCCGGCGAGCGAGAGGGCGCUAACAACGGAGGCGGGCGGACGGGCGGGCGAGCGGCAGGCCCUGAAGGGAGGAUCAGCCAGGCGGCGGGACUCGUCUUGAAAGCCAAUGUGACUUGGACACAGAGGUCCGCCAGACGCUUUUCAUCCUUGGCAUCAACAUUCCUCACUAGUAUCAAUAAUUUACUUAGGAAAAAAAAGACAGCCUGUGUUCAGGAUCACUCCUCAUCCAAUGUACUCUAUAGUGUAGUCACUUCAACAUUUUGUACAAAGUAUACAGUAGAAUAGCUCAUGUACUAUAUCUAUCUAUACAAAUAUAAACACAGGGUGUAAAACCAAAAUAUAUAGGCCUAUAUAGAUAUCUUAGAGCUGAAACAAUUACUCGAAUAAUUUCAAGUAACUAAAUUUUAAAAUUUAUUGCUUUAUCAGUGGUUUAGGCACCUUCAUUUGUGUUGCAUUGAAUUAGGUGUGUCCAAACUUUUGGCCUGUACUGUAUGUUAGAGCAGGGCGGUAAACCGAAAAUUUACCGCCACCGAAAUUCUUCACGAUGACCGACGUAAAUUUGACCAUGUCGGUAAAUUCGGUAAUUUAAUAAAACAAGAAAAUAUAGUCUUUUUAUCCCGCUUUGACGCUGUGUUGUUCGGCUACGUUCAUUCCCCUUUAAGAAAGCAGACAGUGUGCUUACGUAUGGAGUCACGUGGUUUUCAGGAGGCCAAUCAAACAGAAGCCCGGUAGGCUAACGCUACCAGCUAACGCUACAAGUAAACGGAAUGGAGUCGGGCUUAAGUUAGCUUCGCCAGACUUUCACCCGACAUAAAGUAAACUCUUGGCGGGUCCCAGACGGGCUUUCACCCGCUGUCCUCCCUGGUUCUCACAAUAUCAGGAGAGGAUGCUUUCUUCUGGUAGCCAAGCCACAGGCUAACGCUAGCGGCUAACAAUGGCUACAAAUGAAUGUGAAAGAGUCGGACAGCGGCUCUAAUCUUGUCGAAACGGCUGAAAUUAAUGAGUGGACAGGGCACAGCUAUUUUUCUGUAUGUGUUUGCUUUAUUCUGCUAUCAUAAAACCUUAAAUGUUUCAUUGGCAUCAGAGCAAUACAUCUUUAAUCUGGUUGUGUCUGUGCGGGGGUGCAUGUAUUAAAAAAUGUUUCGGAGAAAAAAAAAUAAUAAUAAACUGAAACCUUGACAUAAACACUUGUGUUGAAUAAUUAUGUCACAGCAGCCAUUACCAAUAAGUUGUCUGAAGUGUACUGUUAAAGCUGCAAGUCAUUUGUGUUAGAAUGACAUGUUUGCGCAGUCGUCAUAUUGAUUUUUAUAAUGUUGUACAUUUUUCAAGUCAUACAAGCUGUUAUAAAUGUUCACACCAGAAUUCUUAUUGUUUACAAGAUUUUUUUUAAUACUUAAUGUUUAGACUGCAUGUGCAAUUGUUAAAUUG